UGGGUUCGAAUCCCUACAUGGGUAGAAUGUGUGAACUCCAUUUUUUCCCCGCCGUGAUAUUGCUGGAAUAUUGCUUAAAGCGGCG